rnacentral:tRNA from 1 species
GGUCCUGUGGGGUUCAGUUUGCAGAUCAUGGUUCUUGCAAAACCAUGAUUGUGGGUUUGAUUCCCACUGGAGCCA